rnacentral:misc_RNA from 1 species
ACACCUCACCUCUCGUGGUCUUCCAUGAUGAGCUUGGACUUUGGGGGUUUGCUGGCCCUGUUGCCGGCUCCUCUCAAACGAAUCAGCUUGCCAGUGUUUGGCGGCGUCACGGGUGUGAUAACCAUCUACGCUUGCGAUCGCCUGCCAGAUAACCCUCAGCGAUGAAGGUUCAUUGGGGCUCAGAAAAGUCUCUCCACGGCGAGGACGAAUUUUGAAU